rnacentral:rRNA from 1 species
UACGGAGGGGGCAAGCGUUGUUCGGAAUUACUGGGCGUAAAGAGCGCGCAGGCGGCCAAGUCAGUCGAAUGUGAAAGCCCCCGGCUUAACUGGGGAGGGUCAUUCGAUGCUGCUCGGCUCGAAGACAGGAGAGGGAAGCGGAAUUCCCGGUGUAGUGGUGAAAUGCGUAGAUAUCGGGAGGAACACCAGUGGCGAAGGCGGCUUUCUGGCCUGUUCUUGACGCUGAGGCGCGAAAGCUAGGGGAGCAAACGGG